GAUGAACGCUAGCGGCAGGCUUAAUACAUGCAAGUCGAGGGGCAGCAUGGUUGUAGCAAUACAAUUGAUGGCGACCGGCAAACGGGUGCGGAACACGUACACAACCUUCCAAUAAGUGGGGAAUAGCCCAGAGAAAUUUGGAUUAAUACCCCGUAACAUAACGAUGUGGCAUCACAUUGUUAUUAUAGAUUUUUCGCUUAUUGAUGGGUGUGCGGCUGAUUAGAUAGUUGGCGGGGUAACGGCCCACCAAGUCUACGAUCAGUAGCUGAUGUGAGAGCAUGAUCAGCCACACGGGCACUGAGACACGGGCCCGACUCCUACGGGAGGCAGCAGUAAGGAAUAUUGGACAAUGGACGCAAGUCUGAUCCAGCCAUGCCGCGUGAAGGAUUAAGGUCCUCUGGAUUGUAAACUUCUUUUAUAAGGGACGAAAAAAGGCUUUUCUAAGUCGUCUGACGGUACCUUAUGAAUAAGCACCGGCUAACUCCGUGCCAGCCGCCGCUGUAAUAC
rnacentral:rRNA from 1 species